rnacentral:rRNA from 1 species
AGUCACUGACAUUAGAUACCCGUGUAGUCCAGGGUGUAAACGCUGCGGGCUUGGUGUGGGGGUCCUUUGAGGGCGCCCAGUGCCGGAGAGAAGUUGUUAAGCCUGCUGCUUGGGAGUACGUCCGCAAGGAUGAAACUUAAAGGAAUUGGCGGGGGAGCACCGCAACGGGAGGAGCGUGCGGUUCAAUUGGAUUCAACGCCGGACAACUCACCAGGAGCGACGGUUACAUGAAGGCCAGGCUGAUGACCUUGCCUGAUUUCCG